UACGGAGGGUGCAAGCGUUGUCCGGAUUUAUUGGGUUUAAAGGGUGCGUAGGCGGCUUUUUAAGUCAGUGGUGAAAGACAACAGCUCAACUGUUGCAGUGCCAUUGAUACUGAAGAGCUUGAGUACAGAUGAGGUAGGCGGAAUUUAUGGUGUAGCGGUGAAAUGCAUAGAUACCAUAAAGAACACCUAUUGCGAAGGCAGCUUACUAGCUGUAACUGACGCUGAGGGCACGAAAGUGAUGGGGAUCAACCAGGG
rnacentral:rRNA from 1 species